UUAGACUGGUUAAGAUUUAAAUUACUACUUUUUGUAUUACGGUUUGAUGAGUUUUUUUACGUUUGUAAUUUUUUAAACGAUUUAAUAAUUUAAGAUCUAGAAAAAAAUAAUAAAAUUUAACAAAAAUUAUAAUUGAAUUUUUUUCUAUGAGAUAUUUGUGUCGGGUUUUAAUUUUUUUUGUUAGUUUUCCACCGAUUUUAAGAAUUAGUGGUUUCAGAUUAAGUACUUUGUUUUAUUUUAAAAUUUUUUUAAAUACUCCAUCUUUCAUAUAAAGAGUUUCAAUGUAAUAAUCUAAUGUUCUUUUAUUUUAAUUUAUUUAAAGUUGAUUUUUUUUUUUAAUAUAUUAAAAUUAGUAAAAAUUAUAUAUUCUUGUAUUCAGAAGUUUUCUCCACUGUUUAUUAAAAACAUUGUUUUUUUUAUAAAAAAUAUUGUCCCUGCUCACUGGUUUAACUAAAUAGCUGCAGUAUUUUGACUGUACAAAGGUAGCAUAAUUAUUUGUCCUUUAAUUGUGGAAUUGUUUGAAUGGGUUUAGGAAGAAGGUUGUUUUAAAAUUAUAUUUUUUUAAUUUUAUUUAGAAAUAAAAAUUUUUUCUAAAUAUUACUUUAAGACGAAAAGACCCUAAUGGAGUUUUUAAUUUUUAUUUUUUGAUGGGGCGUUAAUUUAUUUUUCAUAAGUUUUGACACUUGGAAAAUUUCCCUAGGGUUAACAGGAAAAUAAAAUUUUAGAGACCAUAUCGAAAAUUUUGUUUUUUACCUCGAUGUUGAAUUAAAUUUAGAAAAAGGUGCAGUAGUUUUUGUUCUUAGCCUGUUCGGCUAUUAAAAGUUUACAUGAUUUGAGUUUAAACCGGUGUAAACCAGGUUGGUUUUUAUCUAAAAUGUUGAUUAAGCAGUACGUAAGGAUUUUUAAUUGUUUUA
rnacentral:rRNA from 1 species